rnacentral:tRNA from 1 species
GGAGAGAUGGCCGAGCGGUCGAAGGCGCACGCCUGGAAAGUGUGUAUACGGCAACGUAUCGAGGGUUCAAAUCCCUCUCUCUCCGCCA